rnacentral:misc_RNA from 1 species
AAGUCGUAACAAGGUUUCCGUAGGUGAACCUGCGGAAGGAUCAUUACUGAGUGAGGGUCCCUCGGGGCCCAACCUCCCACCCGUGUAUACCGUACCUUGUUGCUUCGGCGAGCCCGCCCCCCUAUCCUUUAGGGGUGGCACAGCGCUCGCCGGAGACACCAACGUGAACACUGUCUGAAGUUUUGUCGUCUGAGUCGAUUGUAUCGCAAUCAGUUAAAACUUUCAACAAUGGAUCUCUUGGUUCCG